rnacentral:rRNA from 1 species
UUGACCUCAAAUCAGGUAGGACUACCCGCUGAACUUAAGCAUAUCAAUAAGCGGAGGAAAAGAAACUAACAAGGAUUCCCCUAGUAACUGCGAGUGAAGCGGGAAAAGCUCAAAU